rnacentral:rRNA from 1 species
CCUACGGGUGGCAGCAGUCGAGAAUUUUUCUCAAUGGGGGAAACCCUGAAGGAGCGACGCCGCGUGGAGGAUGAAGGUCUUCGGAUUGUAAACUCCUGUCAUUGAAGAACUAGUACUCAAAGAGGAAGAGACGGCUAACUCUGUGCCAGCAGCCGCGGUAAUACAGAGGUCUCAAGCGUUGUUCGGAAUCAUUGGGCGUAAAGGGUGCGUAGGCGGCAAGACAAGUCGAGUGUGAAAUUUCGGGGCUCAACCCCGAAACUGCAUACGAUACUGUCCUGCUUGAGUGCUAUAGAGGAGACUGGAAUUUACGGUGUAGCAGUGAAAUGCGUAGAUAUCGUAAGGAACACCAGUGGCGAAAGCGAGUCUCUGGAUAGACUGACGCUGAAGCACGAAGGCCAGGGGAGCAAACGGGAUUAGAUACCCUUGUAGUC